AUACGGAGGGUGCAAGCGUUAUUCGGAAUCACUGGGCGUAAAGGGUGCGUAGGCGGUUUGGUAAGUCUGAUGUGAAAUCCUAUGGCUCAACCAUAGAACUGCAUUGGAAACUGUCAGACUAGAAUACUGAAGGGGCAGAUGGAAUUAGUGGUGUAGGGGUAAAAUCCGUAGAUAUCACUAGGAAUACCGAAAGCGAAAGCGAUCUGCUGGGAAGUUAUUGACGCUGAGGCACGAAAGCGUGGGGAGCAAACGGGAUUAGAAACCCCAGUAGUCC
rnacentral:rRNA from 1 species